UACGUAGGGUGCGAGCGUUGUCCGGAAUUACUGGGCGUAAAGAGCUCGUAGGUGGUUUGUCGCGUUGUUCGUGAAAACUCACAGCUUAACUGUGGGCGUGCGGGCGAUACGGGCAGACUGGAGUACUGCAGGGGAGACUGGAAUUCCUGGUGUAGCGGUGGAAUGCGCAGAUAUCAGGAGGAACACCGGUGGCGAAGGCGGGUCUCUGGGCAGUAACUGACGCUGAGAAGCGAAAGCAUGGGGGAGCGAACAGG
rnacentral:rRNA from 1 species